rnacentral:misc_RNA from 1 species
AAGUCGUAACAAGGUUUCCGUAGGUGAACCUGCGGAAGGAUCAUUAACACGUAUCCAACGUUAAACCCCCCUGUGAACUUUUAUACUUGCUCUCCUAGCCCGCCGGAAUUGCAAUCCCUGGUAAAUCAUUGUUGAACAGAUUUUGAUUCAGGGACCUCAGUUUGGUAGGCGAAGAUCGAGCGAUCGUUGCAAGUGGCCUGGUUUCCCCAAGCAGUCAGUGUCUGGAAGUGUCAUUGAUUGUGUAAGGAUAGCGCUUCUACGAUUCUUGUAGACCGUACACUCGGGCAGGAGCUUUGCCGAAGGGUCCCCAUGCCCCCUAAUAACCCCACAUUUUAAUGAAGCUCAAUGUAAUACAUUGGGUAAAAAAACCGAACAACUGUUAACAAUGGAUAUCUUGGUUCUC